UAGGGAAUCUUCGGCAAUGGGGGCAACCCUGACCGAGCAACGCCGCGUGAGUGAAGAAGGUUUUCGGAUCGUAAAGCUCUGUUGUAAGAGAAGAACGUGUGUGAGAGUGGAAAGUUCACACAGUGACGGUAACUUACCAGAAAGGGACGGCUAACUACGUGCCAGCAGCCGCGGUAAUACGUAGGUCCCGAGCGUUGUCCGGAUUUAUUGGGCGUAAAGCGAGCGCAGGCGGUUUAAUAAGUCUGAAGUUAAAGGCAGUGGCUUAACCAUUGUUCGCUUUGGAAACUGUUAAACUUGAGUGCAGAAGGGGAGAGUGGAAUUCCAUGUGUAGCGGUGAAAUGCAUAGAUAUAUGGAGGAACACCGGUGGCGAAAGCGGCUCUCUGGUCUGUAACUGACGCUGAGGCUCGAAAGCGUGGGGAGCAAACAGG
rnacentral:rRNA from 1 species